GUGAAUAUCGUAGUGCCGUGACGUUACCCACAGAAUAAGCACCGGCAAACUCCGUGCCAGCAGCCGCGGUAAUACGGAGGGUGCGAGCGUUAAUCGGAAUUACUGGGCGUAAAGCGCACGUAGGCGGUUCUGUAAGUGGGAUGUGAAACCCCCGGGCUUAACCUGGGACUUGCAUACCAGACUGCAAAGCUAGAGUAUGAGAGAGGGUGGUGGAAUUUCCGGUGUAGCGGUGAAAUGCGUAGAGAUCGGAAGGAACAUCAGUGGCGAAGGCGGCCACCUGGCUUAAUACUGACGCUGAGGUGCGAAAGCGUGGGGAUCAAACAGGAUUAGAUACCCUGGUAGUCCACGCCGUAAACGAUGAGAACU
rnacentral:rRNA from 1 species